GGCACUUCAGAAAGCUCAGUCAGCAGAGCGUGAGAUUCUUAAUCUCUGGAUUGUGGGUUCAAGCCCCACGUUGGGCCA